GCACUUUUUAUUGAGGUUCUAUGCCUACAACCCUCUGGCUGGUAUGGGCUGCCGUGUGGACAGGCUCCCCGUGGGCAGGAGGGCAUUCCCGGCCCCUGUGUCUGACUAUUCCUGACAUAGUAGAUGCCCGGCCCAGGACCUGGGAGGCUGGGCUGGGUCCUCCGGCUCUCCUGGGUUCCCUGCCAUCCCCCCGCCAGUCUGGAACAGCUUGUGGGAGUGGUGGGGGCCAGUGGAUCUGAGGGCAGUCUUCCCGCUGACCGGCAAGUACAAGUAGGACGAUGGUGGGAAACCACCUGUGGACUGCUUCUUUGGGCAUAACUGGACUGAAACGUACAAGAAAAGGUGAGCUGGAGGUGGGCCGUGUCAGCACAAGAGUUGGCCUGGGUCCCCCUAGUCUGAAAUAGGGGGUCUCCGGGGUUGAUUUCCUGUGGACCGGCACCUCCUCCUGGUGCUCAGACCGAGGCCCCUGCAUUCCCGACUCUUCCCCGAUCCCCGCUGCCACCAUACUAUGUCUCCUGGGAGGGAUUAGGGCCUGGACUGGGAAUGUGAUCCCUGGGCCUUCUGGCGGGUCCCCAAGACUCUCCCUGGAAGGGCUCACCCACUGUGCACAGCGGGAGGGGGGCCCUUGGAUGAGGACUUGGGAAACCUGGCACUCCUGCCCCACUGCUAGUGGGCCCUUCACCUUGGGCAAAGGAAUCUAAGUUUUGUAAUCUCUUGGCCAUGAAAUCAUUACCAGUCGAUAGUUACAGUUGAACAAAUGUUGGGAUCAGCCUUCUUCCCUUCCGUUUCCCACUUUCUAAAAUUUGAAAAAGCCAUCAAUAUGUACCCAUGGCUCAAAGCAACCCGUUUCCAAGUUGCACUCAUCAGUCGUGAGGAUUUAAACCGCUCUUUACUGCGAGAGCCCCGAAAUGCACACCUUAUCGCUGUUCCUCCAUUUACCACAUCUAGACGCCAUCCAUGGAUUGCUGGAAAGCUCCUACUGAAUCUUUCUAAAUUAAUGAAGAUGAGCCUCCAAGACUACAAGAUGCCCCACUGAGGGACCAGAAGGCCACAUGCAUGCUAAGAGGUUGGCUUCUCAGCGCCUCAGGGACCAGCGUGGGAAUACCUGCCCUGGAGUAACCUCCUGGCACUGACCGCUGUGCCACCUUCCCCACCUGCCCAGCUUCUGGAAGGAACACCACUUCAAGACCAUUGCCCUGAUGGAGAAGGCCGUGCAGGCUGCACACUGCGGCAGCGCCCCCAGCUCCAGUGCCCCCAGCUGCCUUCACGUGAAAGGGCUGGGGCUGUGGUCCACUCGGCCACUUCCUGCUUGGACAAAGCGGGUGCUAGACCUGGCUGCCCAGCCCGGGAGCGAACCUGGUGAAUCUGUUUCCUCUGCUCCCUGCAGCCUGGUUCCUGUCCUUCCCGAGGGCUUGGGGGGAGAGGGCAGGAGCACGGAUUAGGCUUCCCAGCCUCCUGUCCUGAAUCCAGCCUGAUCUCUCGACACUGCGGCUGGAGAUGGCACGCAUGCUGCUACACACAAAAGAGAAAGAGGGCCACACAUCCCGAAGAUUUCCUGUCACUCACAGAUCCUUCGCGGGAUACUCGCCACCAAGAACAAUUUAGCCAAGGACCCCUCUCGUGAUUUUCCUGCCUGAAGACCUCAACGUUCACAGUAUUCUGACUACCAGCCCGUGGGUGUUACGUGACCCACUAAGCGCCCCAAUCUGGAAACGUGGAAGAGGCACAGUCACCGGUCUGAGCCACACCAGGACUCACUCGUACCGUCAGAGACUCACCCAAGGGGCAGAAAGGCCCUCUUCCCGCCACCUGCUCACCGGCUGUGCUUCCAGGCGUUCCGGAUGUCCUUCAGCUUGCUGUUCCUCAUGUUGGCCACGGAGAAGAUGAAAAGGUACUUGUAUGUGUCCACACAUUUCCGAAGCUGCGGGACAAUUCAUGGGGUUCUGGAGUUCAAGGGGCAGCACGGGUUGGGCUUCAGAUGGGAAAAAAUCUGCUCUAGGUCCCCAACAACCGUGGAAGUUUAGAGCUGGAGGCUCUAAUCUCGUCAUUUCCUCCUUACUUCCAUUACUGAAGUCAUGAUCAUGGACUACAGGGGCUCCUCUGAGGCAAAGCAGGCGUGAUCUCAAAGCGCAGGGGAAGCUGGGCCAUGGGUCAACAUCCCAUGGUCUUCCCAGGUUAUCUGUGGCCAUGAGUGGAAUGGAUCGCUUUGCUUUGCCCAUUAACUGACAACCCAGAAACGCUCGGCCAUACUUGGAAGGCUCCUGUGAAAUGGAAAUCUGUAACACCUUAUUAUUCACUAAGAAGAAGCGGCUCAUCGGCCCUGCUCUGCCCACAGUGCUGGCUGCAGUCAUGACAUGGUCUCACGGAAAAGGAAUCACUGUGCUGGAGGACAAUCUACUGUCAUCCAGCUUGCAGCCUUGGAGCAAUGUAGACAGGGGGCUGGCUGGUACACUUACAUCUAGUAACCCCAGAGCUUUUUUUUUUUUUUUUUUUUGAGAGAGAGAGAGAUAGGCAGGCAGGGCUCACCCAAAGCCUUGAGCUCACCUGACCUGAUGUGGGGCUCAAACUCACAAACUGUGAUCAUGAGCUGAGCCAAAGUCAGAUGCUUAAUGACUGAGCCACCCAGGUGCACCCCCACCUUUCAAAAGUAAGUUCUAUGCCCGUCAUGAGACCUGAACUCAUGACCCUGAGAUCAAGAGUCAUAUGCUCUACAGACUGAGCCAGCCAGGUGCCCUGUGAUUGUACAGCUUUUUGACACUGGGCAGGCUACCAAAUCUAAGUUUCUGUUACCUAGAUGCAUAACAGUGAUCAUUAUUCAUAGACACGUAUGAAUGAAGUAGAACACACGUGGAGUACUUAGUGGGGUGCCAUGCACAGAGUAAGAGCUCUGUGAAAACCAGAAAUCGUUACUACGGGGGUUUUUAUUGGGUGCUGUUGCUGGAGGAAAAAGGGAUGAACCAGCACCUUGUGGUGGUUGUGAUGUGUGUGUGUGUGUGUGUGUGUGUGUGUGUGUGUGUGUGUUUUAAAAAA